GAAUUGGUGGUUCAGUGGUAGAAUUCUCUCCUUCCAUGUGGGAGAUCCAGGUUCUAUUCCCAGCCAAUGCA
rnacentral:tRNA from 1 species